UGCCAGCCGCCGCGGUAAUACGGAGGGUGCAAGCGUUGCUCGGAAUUACUGGGCGUAAAGGGCGCGUAGGCGGCUUGGCAAGUCGGAUGUGAAAGCCCGGGGCUCAACCCCGGAAAUGCAUCCGAUACUGCCUCGCUUGAGAACGGGAGAAGGAUGCGGAAUUCCCAGUGUAGAGGUGAAAUUCGUUGAUAUUGGGAGGAACACCGGUGGCGAAAGCGGCAUCCCGGCCCAUUUCUGACGCUGAGGCGCGAAGGCGUGGGUAGCGAACGGGAUUAGAUA
rnacentral:rRNA from 1 species